rnacentral:tRNA from 1 species
UCCCUGGUGGUCCAGUGGUUAAGACUCCGUGCUGCCAACACAGGCAGCAUGGGUUUGAUCCCUAGUCGGGGAA